UCAAGAAGGCAGCUCACCACCACCUUCUCAAGGGCAAUUAGGGAUGGGCAAUAAAUGCUGGCCCAGCUAGUGAAGCCCACAUACCGUGAAUGAAUAAAAGAAAAAUUGAACUCACAACAGAAAGUUAAGGCCAAUGAUCAAUAGUGUAAGUACUCUUAAGGCACCAUGAUAAUUGUUAGGGAGACCAUCUUAUUGAAACAAUUAAGACUCUGAGGUGAAUUGAUGAGGUAGAGGCUGAGAGAAUGUUACUCUUAUGUUGGAAUCUAGAACUGGGGGCACAGUUUCAAAAUAAGGCGUCUCCCAUUUAAAUAGAGAUGAGGAAUUCCCCGUCUUACAAGCACGGCCUGCAAACUCCCCUCUAAGCCAGCCACUAUCCUGACUUGGAAUUGUAUCGCUGUUCCUUCACUGUCACUGGGUCAAAAUCCUUCAACUCCCUCCUAACAGCACAGUGGAUGUACCUACACCAUGUGGACUGCAGUGGCUCAAGAAGGCAGCUCACCACCACCUCCUCAAGGGCAAUUAGGGAUGCGCAACAGGCACUGGCCCAUAUCAUGAGAAAGAAUAAAUAAAAAUAAGAUGGUUGUUAAUCUUUGGAAUUCUCUUACCCACAGAGCAGGGGAGGCUGGGUCUUUGAAUAUAUUCAAGGCUGAGUUAGACAGAACUCUGAUCUAUAAUAGAGCCAAGGGUUAUGCUCUUUUUGACUAAACCAAUAAAAAACAAAUUAACAAAAGAGCAAAUGAACAAAUUAAAGGGACAGAGCCUGAAGGUGAACUGCAAUAAAAGACAAAACACGAAGGAAGCUUACAAAGGUAAAACCAAAGUGUGAUUGUGCGAGUCAGUAAUGCACCCCAGUCAUCGCGGUGCCCACCGGUCACAGAAGGCAUCAAUAGUACCAGCAAACACUGCAUGGUCCCUCUCCAUGGACACUCGGUCAUGAACUUAGCCGUGGAAGAGAGGCAGACAAACCCUUCGACCACCUGCUGCCUGGACCUAUUAAUGGCCGACUUGGCCAGGCCCAGGAGCAGGUUCACAAGGAGGUCCUCCUACCUCCCCGGCCCUCCUCCACACCGGGUGGCCCGAAGAUUAGGAGAGUGGGACUGAAGCACAAACAAAAAUUAAGUCAUAACUUUUAAAUUUUAUUUAUGCCUACAACAACUUACAUAUGCAUGGUCCGCAAACUCCACAAGGCUGAAAAACGCAUAGGCAUCUUGGGAGUCCGUGAACUGACACAUCCUACGGUUGUAUGGGACUGUUGCAUGCGACACCCUCCACCCCAAGUCCCUGAUGGUAAGAGGGAGGACUCCCAUGUAGAGAGCCCUCCACUGGGGACCUCUGCCCUCCUGACAGCAACAGGGCACACCAAGGCGUGUCCGGAUGAUGGGCUAGGACAAGGAGGCGAAGAGUGUGCAACAGCAGCCUGUACAGGAACCCCCUCUGCACCGAGCUAAAAGGCACAGAGGGCAUUUCCAUGGCUUAGCUUGCGGGGCUCCUGCUCCUGAGAUGGGUUCGGGGCUUAGGGCCAAUUCCAUCUGAGCAGUGGUUCGCUCAGAUGGGAGUCCACAGCACACCAGCGCCUCCUCCAGGCCUCAUGUGCCUUUGGAACUGAGCACAGCUGUUUUAAAGUUGUGGAAGGCAUUGGCCAUGAGCUGGACAUCCAACGAUGCAUGACGUGCCAAUUCAUGGGGUGUGUUAGGGGGGAAUAUAGGGGUACAGUAAAAAUUUAUUGUAAGGGAAUGAUACUGUUGGAAUCUCCAAGCAGCUAGUGCCUGCAAGUAUAUAAACAGUUAAAAAGCACCACAUUAACCUUGUACACCCUCAGGGCCUGUGAUCAUCAGCAAGGUCCUGGGAACCAGGCUGGACAUAGAGGAAGGCAUAGAUUAGGUGUCCUACGAGUCAGACUGGAGACUUAGGUUGUGAAAAAAACAACUAAGAUUGAGCCUGUUUACAGCAGAUAGGGAAAGAACAGAUGGUCCCAGUUCAGAUAGAAGGGAAAGUCUCUGCCUGGGUAAACAUAAAGUCAAGUGAUUACCAGAGAUGUGUUUUUAAUGUAAACCUAUAUGUUGAUGAGAUCAGAAUCUGGAAACUGUUCUUGUACGUGACCCAAUAUGCUGAACACUUGUAAUUUAGCAGAGUACUGUCUCAAGCUGCAUUGAGAUGGCUCUUGCCUUGCAAUUGCUCGAAUAGACAUUCGUGACCUGUUCCUGAGACUCCUGUUUGUCAAAGUUACCACAUCAGUUUGGCGUAGUCACCAGGAUACUCAGAUCAGAUCCUCGGGACAGCUCUGCAAAGUGGAUGCUGCUAGAUCUGUUUCCAGCAUUUCUGUUUUUGCUCCUAUUAAAUCCUCCCAGCAUUCAUUGAACACAAGAUUAAAGAUUCCUCCACAUUGUCCCAAAAACGAGCACAACCUCCAAAGCCAAGGUUGUUGCAUGACUCUGUCGUUUCACAGGUAAUCUGCACCAGGGUCUGUAACACAGCCCAAAGAGACAACCCAACAUCGACAAGCUAUCACAUCCCAGAGGACAAAGACAAAUGUUUGGAAGCGGCAGUUUUGAACUGCUUGAAAGAGAGAAAUCGGAUUCAGAGGGUGCAUUUGGGUGUGAGGUUCAUAUAUUUAAUCUUACAUCACAGAAAGUUACAUCAUGCAAGCAACAGUAGUUAUUUCUAUCUAAUGGGCAUCUUUAAUGUGGAAAAAUAUCCCAAGGCACUUCACAGGAUCAUCUGCAAAUAGAAUUUAACACCAAGACAUGAGGAAAGGGCAAACAGUUAAAUGAUUGUUUUCAUUUGGCUCCAUCUGUGAUAAAUGAUGGGAAAGCAGGACUUUGGUGGGGCCAGAUGAGAUCUUCUGCUGUUCUUCUUUUGAGGUCUGAACAAGCCAAGGUAAAGUCUGCCUCGAGGGCCACUCAUGAAGCUGCAUUUUGUUGAUGGUGCGGUGCGGGGUGAUGUCUGCUGUUGCUUUGUUUCAGGGCCGUCUUCUGCUUUGCAACUUCUGAAACUACAUGUCAUCAUGGUGGCAAAUCCCUACCCACAGCUGCUGUUCUCAUUUGCACUGAUAGUCAGCUAGAGUUUCCCACUUUGUCAUUUGCACUGAUAGUCAGCUACAUUUUCCCACUUACCAUAAAUGACGGAUGUGGAGGGCUUUCCUGUCUCUUUUGACAGCAUCCUUGAAUGGGAGUUCUGGACACCUAGCUAGUCUCUUGCAAUGGGUUAGCUCCCUGUACAACAUAUCCUUGGUAAUGUGGCCAUGUUCUAUCCUCUGCCCAAGCCAACAAUGUCCUUGCUUGAAUAGCUCUAUAUAUUUGAACGGACUUGGUGACUUUCCCUUUCCAUGUGAUGGCGAGAUAGCGUCAUAGACACUGGACAUGUAAAAGAAAACUUUCAUUUACAGGAUGUGGGCAUCGCUGGCAAAGCCAGCAUUUGUUGCCCAUCCCUAACUGCCCUUGAACUGAGUAGCUUGCUAGACCAUUUCAAAGGGCAGGUAAAAGUCAACUACAUUGCUGUGGGACCACAUUCAGUAUCUGUUUAGAGAAAAACAGAGUUAACAUUUGAGUCCAUAUGACUCUUCUUCAGAGCUAAAGAGAAGUAGAGAUGUGAUGGAAUUUAUACUGUUUAAGAUGGGGUGGAGCAGGUGAUCUAAGACAGAAGGACAAGGAUAGAUGGGACUAAGGAGAGAUUGACAAAGAUGUUGUAGGCACAAGGCAAAGUGAGUGUUAAUGGUAGUGGUGAAGACUAAAGGUCGUGCUAAUAGUGGCAUAAAGGUAAUAUAGCAGAAGGUGUUCAUAAAACAUGAGUCGCUCUGUGAAAGAACAACAUAGAAACAAGUGAUAGAUGACCCUGUGGGGGGGUCGGGUGGUGUUGAGGAAAAAAGAUAAAAUGAAAUGAAUAAAAAGCGAUGAAAAAUAAAAAUAAAUUUUAAAAAAGAGAUUUAAAAGGAGUAAAGGUAGAGGAGAAAGUUCACAGUCUGAAGUUGUUGAACUCAACGUUCAGUCCAGAAGCCUGUGAAGUGCCUAAUCGGAAGCUGAGGUGCUGUUCCUCCAGUUUGCGUUGGGCUUCACUGCAACUUUGCAGCAGGCCAAGGACGGACAUGUGGGCACGAAAUCUAAAGCCCCCAUUGGACCUAACGCUCUCAGUAGAUGGCCUUACUGAAUGAAUGAAGGGGAAAGCCGAGGUCACAGUAGAGACCCCUGAGUGGGGAGGGGCAGGACAUGGCAACCAGUAACUACAUCCUACCAAUUUGAGUACAUAUCCAUCAUUAUUCUCCGUCUCCUAACUGAUACCCUACCCAGGUUCGCAAGGAGCCUCUAUUCUUGAAAGCUGCGUUUAAUUCAAGUACAGGUAGCCUCCCUGAUUUUCAGAAUGCGUACUGGACUUAGCGCUUCUCUAUAGCUACCAGAGUGUUGAGAUUGUUAUAAUUAGAGGUCACCUUACUGUCAGCUGCUUAGAGCAGGCAAAUUGUGUUAACACCAGGAUGCCUGCUACAAGUGCUGAGGAUUGUAAUAUCUUUGCCCAAACAGCUGUCUCCUUUGGCCAGUGGUAGAGAACACACCAAUACUGUUGAAGGCUUCAAUUUACAGCCUGAGGAAAUAUGAAAAGUGAAAUCAAACCAAUGACCCUGCACUGUUAAAACCCUACAAUACAAUGCCUAAUAGUUGGCACUUAGCAAAAAAACAGCGACAGAAAUAAAGAACUUACUUUUAUACAGGUAAUUUCACAUCCUCAAGCAUGGCAUAAGCCACUGAAGUACUUCUGAAGUGCAAUCACUGUCAGAGGGAACUGCAUAGAUCUGCACACAGCAGGAUCCCACAAACCGGAAAUGAGAAAAUUGAUGGUUCUCAUGGCACUGAUUGGCCAGGGCAUAAGGAGAACCACAUGAGGAGAGCUUUCAUUUUGAUUAAUCUCCACGGGAUCUUUUCUAUCCGCCUAAACAGGUACUUGGAGCCUCAGUUUAACAUUUUGUUCAAAGAGAAAAUCUUCUCACAAUGCUGCACACUCUCAGUACUGAAAUCAAGUUUCACCCUGGAAUACAUGCUAACGCGCUGUAGUGGGGCUUGAACUGAGCAUUAUCUAGAAGGCACCUUUUCCUCUUUGGUGUUCAUUGCAAGAGCCGGGCUGCUGGGAAAUGGGGUGCCGCUUGUGCUCGAUUUUGUACCAGGGCCUCCAUGUUUUCCAACAUUAAGCCAAACCUGGCUCCUGAAGAUUUUACAUUUCUGUGAAAAUUAUUCUAGUUUUUGUUAUACUGGAGCAGGCCCAAUGACCAUAUGGUUUACUCCUAUCCUUAUUUCUUGUAUUCUUUACAUUAGCUGUGCAGGCAGCUGUUUAAAGUAAAUGCAUUGCUUUUGAAAUAUCUGUUUACAUACCAAAUACGUAUGACAUUUGGAAUGGGAAAAGUCUAAGGAUAGAUUAAAGGGACCACCUAGUUUAGAUCAUUAGACAUAGAUGAUAGUAUUAUUGUGAUUAAACAGACAAUCCUCACUACGGUGAGCUCUGUGAAGAGAUUCACCUCUUUCAUAAGGGAACCAGAAAUGUAAUAAAUGUGACAUAAAUUAACUCUGCAACAAUAUUCAGUUGAUUGAAGGCACUAAAAAAAUUAUAUUGAGACAAACAGGUUUUCCUUGAAUGGAGUGUGAUAGUGAAAAUCACACUGAUAAUAGUUACUCUUAUCCAACUGCUGGCUGUAUGGGGAAUUCAACGCUGAUAAAAUUAAUCAAUGGACAUAAAUUUAGAUCAGAAUGGAGGCCAUCAGAAACCUCCCCAUCAAUGGAAAGGCUGCCUCCCUUCAGAAUAGAAUUUUACAGCUCAUGAGAGCCCCUCUCUUCUGCUUUUUAAACUGGUUGACUAAGUAUCUACAGUGUGUGCCAGCUCAACAUCAUCUGAAGGAGUGUUCUAGACUUUUCAAUUACUUCAGUUAUAUUAAUGUGGAAUUGUCCUCUUGUCCAAGUUAAGAGGUUGUGGCUUCAAUCCCAUUCCAGAGAUUUGAGCAUAUAAUCCAGGCUGACAUUCCCAGUGCAGUUCUGACACUCCCAGGGCAGUUCUGAGAGAGUGCUGCACUUUCAGACCUCACCCUUGAACUUCCAAUGUUGCAUCUAAUGGCCAAAAAUCUUUGAUGAAUCCCCAAUAGAAGGAAACCUCUGUUAUUAUUUUAAAUUUAAAUGAAUAUUGCACAUUAUGCUGAUGAACGUAGAUGAUCCCACACAGCAGUACUUUGAACAAAAUUAAGGAAGUGCUCCUGUAUCUGACACCAGGCCUCUAUGUGCAAUUAGGUGUCAGUCUUGGCUCUGCGCACAGCACUGAGGAUGUGGGCAGUGAGAACAAGGCCAGCAUUUAUUACCCAUUCCGAGAUGCCCUUGACAAGGUGGGUGGCAGGUCUGCUUAUUGAACUGCUGCAGUCCAUAGGGUGAAGCGCUAGAUAGAAGUAACUAAUACUGUGCGAUUAGCUAGGCAGUUCCAGGUUUUUGAAUGCAUGAUGAAGGAAUGGCAAUACAUUUCCAAGCCAGGACAUUGUAUGACUUGAAGGGGAAUUAGGAGGUUUUGGUUUUCUGAUGCACUUGCUGCUCUUGAUGUUCUGGGUGGUGAUGAUCAUGGGUUUGUUAAGAAGCCGUGGCAGGUUUCUGCAGUGCAUCCUCUAAAUGUGGAAACACUCCCAGCUGCUAAGACAGGUAAAACAUGGAAUGAGCAGAGUUGAGGGAGGAGCAGUGCGCUAUGCACAGGUGCCCUUACACCUGUAGCUUAAACUUAUAGAUUGAGUCACAAUGUGCCCAAUAUGAGAAGCAUGUGGUCUGAAGCAGUGGAGAUGAGCACACUGGGGUAGGGAGAAAGACAAAGGGAAGUCAGGUCGCUGAUGUCGAAUCUCUCUGAUCUGCAGAAUUUCUCUUACAGAAGAGGUGUUAAACCAAGGCCCUGGCUGCCCUAUUAGCUGGAUUAAGAGAUGCAGCUUAAUUUUUUCAAAGAAGAGCAGUGGCGUACCUCUCUGGUGUCCUGGUCAAUACUUAUUCCUCAUCCAACACACAAACCAGAUCAAUUCAUCAUCAUCUCACUCAGGUUUGAGGGAUCUUGUGUGCAAAUUAACCACUAACUCACCAAAAAUGAUUCAAGAGUUUAACUGAUUCGCCAAACAUGAGGACAGAGCUUAACUACAUAACCAAAUACUCAGCACACACAAGGAGAGAGUUUAACUGGAUCAUCAAUACCACACCAGACAGUGCAUAACGGGAUCAUCAAAUAUGAGAACAAGCUUUAAUUACAGACAUUGCGCGGAAUUUUAGGGCCGUUUUGGCAUGGACGGUGCUGUAAAACGCGGUGAGCUAUUAAAAGUCCAUUGACUUCGGCAGGGCUGUAAAAUCAUACUGGCUAAAAUUCCGCCCAUAGUAACCCUCGCGAAUAUACUUCAAACGAUCCAAUUGCUGCAUAAAAUUAAGCCUCAUGAACGGUCUCGCAAGAGGGCUCCAAAAUAUCCAGACUUAUUAAAGCUAUUCAGAAUCAUAGCAUUUUGUCAAUUGCUGGGCUCUGCUCCUCCCCAGAUAGAUCAUGGUAAACAAAAUAAAGAGAGGUGAUGGUGUAGUGGUAUUGUCACUGGCCUAGUAAUCCAGAAACCCAGGUUCAAAUCCCACCAUAGCAAAUAGUGGAAUUUGAGUUCAAUGAAAAUGUGGAAUUAUAAGUCUGAUAAUGACCAUGAAACCAUUGCUUUGUUAUAAAAGGCCAUCUGGUUCACUAAUGGAAGGAAAUUUGCUGGCCUUCAUGAAACAGGAACAAAGAGUCUGAUGUUUACAGAUGACGUUGCUUGGAUACACCAUGAAAGCAUGAUGCAUUGAACAGAUACUGGGAGUCAUUUAUCUGAGAUUCAUUUCAGCUUUUAAGAUCAGGUUUUACAGUACAAGCCGAACUCAGGCAAGUUUACUUUGAAGCUGUAGCCAGGUUGCAAGAAUAGACUGGGUGCACUGCGCCCAGCCUCUGUAAUACACAGAGGGCUUGGGUUUUUAUGUUGCCUAUCAUGUCAGAACAGAGAUUUGGAGGGCGGAGGGGGUUUAAAAAUGCUGGGCAGGACAGGAUUCUGGGACCCAAGUUCCCUUGCAUUCUGAAAUGGUGGAAGGCAAGUAGCAAGCCUGCAUCAUGCACUCCUGAACAGGCCAGCUCCGUUGCAGGGGUAAGCAAUGGAGCUUAUUCCAGGAACCUUGAAACCAUUGUUGAUUGUGGUAAAAACUAAUGUCCUUUAGGGAAGGAAAUCUGCUGUCCUUAUUUAGCCUACAUGAGACUUCAGCUCCACAAUAAUGUGGUUGACUCUUAAAUGCCCUCUGGACAAGGGCAAUUAGGGAUGGACAAUAAAUGCUGGCCUAGCCAGUGAUGCCCACAUCCCAUGAAUGAAUAAUUUAAAAAAACACCUUGGCAGUCAUCUGCCCCCAUGGUCCACUCUACUAUAUCACCCCCACCUUCCCAGAGUCCUUUACACUGAAGUGAAUCCACCGAGCCAGGAAAUUUUCCCAACUCCAACCAUCCCUCUCAGUAGCGAAAAUCAGGCCCAGGGUGCUUAAUGCCAGCUCCCAUGGUUGUUGACUGCUGUAGUUUAAUGUGGCACAGGGUAAGUGUAACAGCCAUAGCCCCAAGUACCAUACGUUAACUGUCUCUCUCGGUAAUUACUGUCUAAGACAUAAUUGGCCUAUGGAACACAUUAAAGCUGCUUCCUCAUUAACAGGGUGCACAAUCCAUGUUACAGCAACAGUUAAGGAGCUGGGUCAAGUCUUGUGUUGUCAGUUAUUUUUCUAGACUUUUGUGACAUCCUUCCAUUUUUGUGAUCAUGAUCCAAAGGUAAUAAUUAAAAACAGAACGGUGUUUGUAAA